rnacentral:rRNA from 1 species
UACGUAGGGGGCAAGCGUUGUCCGGAAUCAUGGGGCGUAAAGAGCGUGUAGGCGGCUCGGUAAGUCCGCUGUGAAAGUCCAGGGCUCAACCCUGGAAUGCCGGUGGAAACUGUCGAGCUCGAGUCCGGAAGAGGCGAGUGGAAUUCCUGGUGUAGCGGUGAAAUGCGCAGAUAUCAGGAGGAACACCAAUGGCGAAGGCAGCUCGCUGGGACGGUACUGACGCUGAGACGCGAAAGCGUGGGGAGCAAACAGG